rnacentral:rRNA from 1 species
GAUGAACGCUGGCGGCGUGCCUAACACAUGCAAGUCGAACGGAGUCCAGCCUUUAAGACCUUCGGGUCAAAGAGGGGAAGACUGAGUGGCGGACGGGUGAGUAACACGUGGGCAACCUGGCUCAUAGAGGGGGAUAACAGAGAGAAAUUUCUGCUAAUACCGCAUAAGCACACCCUGCCGCAUGGCAGAGGGUGAAAAGAGAAUCGCUAUGAGAUGGACCCGCGUCUGAUUAGCCAGUUGGCAGGGUAAGAGCCUACCAAAGCGACGAUCAGUAGCCGAUCUGAGAGGAUGAACGGCCACAUUGGGACUGAGACACGGCCCAAACUCCUACGGGAGGCAGCAGUGGGGGAUAUUGCACAAUGGGGGGAACCCUGAUGCAGCGACGCCGCGUGAGUGAAGAAGUAUUUCGGUAUGUAAAGCUCUAUCAGCAGGGAAGAUAAUGACAGUACCUGAAUAAGAAGCCACGGCUAACUACGUG